GGGCUUAACACAUGCAAGUCGAACGAGGUCAUCUUGUAGCCAUACAAGUGAAGAUCUAGUGGCGAACGGGUGAGGAACACGUGAGAAAUUUGCCCCGAACUUUGGGAUAACAGUUGGAAACGACUGCUAAUACCGAAUGCCGUUACGAAGUGGCAUCACUUUGUAACGAAAGAAUUUCGGUUCGGGAGAAUCUCGCGGCCUAUCAGCUUGUUGGUGAGGUAACGGCUCACCAAGGCUACGACGGGUAGCUGGUCUGAGAGGAUGAUCAGCCACACUGGGACUGAGACACGGCCCAGACUCCUACGGGAGGCAGCAGUGGGGAAUCUUGUGCAAUAGACGAAAGUCUGGCACAGCAACGCCGCGUGCGGGAAGAAGGCCUUCGGGUUGUAAACCGCUUUCAGCAGGAACGAAAAUGACGGUACCUGCAGAAGAAGGAGCGGCCAACUACGUGCCAGCAGCCGCGGUGACACGUAGGCUCCAAGCGUUGUCCCGGAUUUAUUGGGCGUAAAGAGCUCGUAGGCGGUUCAGCAAGUCGGGUGUGAAAACUCUGGGCUCAACCCAGAG
rnacentral:rRNA from 1 species